rnacentral:lncRNA from 1 species
CCGGCGGCCGGGGGCUGGACUUCCAGCAGGCGCCUGCGCGCUGAGCUGCCGGAGGCUCCUCCCUCUUCUGCAAAGACCUUUCCCUGCGGGUGGAGGGUUUAGCCCGCAAACCCCAAAGGCGGAAUCCAGACUGCCACCCCUUCGGCACCAGAUCAGGGAAGAGGCCAGAUUGCAGGACCAGGAGCUGGAAGAGGCCCGGGCUUGCCUCCAAGUUCCAAAAGCAUUGCUGUCACAUUUACACCUCGUCCCAUUUAGACUGUGCACCAACUAUGGUGUCCUCAGACUUUGCCCUGUUGAGGCAAGUUAGAUGGUUCUUUUGAUCUUUUUGCAGUUAUAGACAAGCCGAUGAAAACAGUGAGGAAUCAGCUGUGAAUCCACCAUGCAUUUCUGGCCAGAGGACACACCUUUCCGGUGGAGCAGGGGUUCCGGCAGACACGCCCACACACUGGAGCUCGAGUGUGAACUGUUUGGAAAGCAAUCUUGAGAAAUGUAGGAAGAGCCUUAAAAAGUGUUCUUUCUCUUGGACCUAGAGAUUCCAUUUCUAGAAAUCUACCGGAAGGCAGUAGAGAUCAAAAUUAGUGAACAAGAAGGCUUAUGAGAGGAUUAUUUAUAAUCCAGACUUUGGAAACACCCCAAAUACUCCCACACCAAGGAGCGAAGAAGUGAGGACGGCGCAGCCUAGGGGAAUAGGAUGCGGUCGUUACAAAGCACAUUUUCCAAGACGUGCACCCGUCUUAGCCUCCUUCCGAAAUUCGGGUGAAAUCUUAUAGCAGGCAGACAGUGCUAUGAGAUUCUGGAAGGAAGAUA